AAUUAUGACUUCCUGUUGGUCUUUUAUUUUUUCCUUCAUGGUGGAAAUGGGCUUCCAUAAUAACUUGCAAAAAGGAAAAAAAUAAAUUCUGGUCAGGAGUAUGUAAACAUGGCAUGAAACUUUUUGCCUUUGGUCUGGUCUUCAAACUUUCUCGCCCUUUUUUUCCCCCUCACAGAUCUGCUGUGUAUAACACUGCAUGUGGCAGUAUUUUCUUCUUUUCAGACACCGUCUUCACAACAUUUGCCAGGUCAUCAAAAAGCUCCCACACAAAUGGAGCUCUCCGGCAGUAUGCAGUGUAAUGUCCCAGUCCAUCUUUGGUCAAGCUUCCCCUGAAAGCGACGACUGCUCUCAAAGUACAUUUUUUUCCUUGCAGAACCAUAGUGGAGGGAAAUUCACUCAAAGCAAAAUCAUUUGAAUUUGGAAGGUCUGUGUCAAUCCAUGCUAUUUCUCCGAUACUGUAGUUGUGAGUAACGGUUCCUGCACAGAGAGCAUUUCCUGAAGUGCUGGCUCCUGUUUUUAAUUCUGCUGGACAUUCUGAUUCAUUCUGCAGUGGUCUGAGGCAGGGAGACUGUGGAAGGAAGAGUCCUUUUUCUAUGGAAGUGUGAAGCUGUGCCAUACCAGAAUUCUUCAGGACAGAAAUGUCUGGUGAAACAAAUGGUACUUCCCUGGUCAUUCCUUUGUUUAGGUGGCAGUAUUGUGAAGAGCAGUGUUUUGAGAGGUAAACACUUGACACAUUUCUCAUUGUCUUCCCAAUAACAGUGGCAAUAUUGCACUGUGCAUCGAUUUGAUGAUGAAUCUGCAUGGAGCCAUUCAGUGCAGGAACUCAAGUAUGAAGUCCUCUUCCUCUUUUUGGGUGGAAGAAUUUGUCCUCUCCAGUUUUCAACCACGUUUUCAUCUGCUGUGGAAAGGUUUUUGGCGGGAUCAGAUUCCAUUAAAUCGCUAGAAUCCAUUUUUGUUUUUUCUUCAGCAUUGUGUGUAAUUACUGACGCAGGAUUAGCUUCUGCAACGUCUGCUGAUGUAACUUGUUCCUCCUCUCUUUUUGCUUUGGCAGAGCAAAUCUGCAUAUUUCCUUCGAUGAAGGAAAGGUGCCGAGAAAUGAAGCGAUCCACUCGAAUGGGCAAGUUCUCAUGUUUGAACAGGCCAUGUUUUAUAUUUUUGAAUUCGGCUUCAACAUUGGCUGAGCUUGCUGUGAGACUGGUGCUUUUGAAGAGGGGAACCAUUAUUCCUGUCCACAGUGCAUGUGUCCUGCUCUCCUCACAAAUGUUUGACACCCAGUCUCGUAGGUCAGUCUGGAUGUCAUUACAUGGAUCCACUUGAUGAACUUCCUUUGUGUCUUCAUCUGGAAUGAUGAUGGAGUCUUCUGCAAUCUGGGUUUUCAGGCAGUCCCACUGGCAGACCAUCUUUAUGCAGUGUGCAACAUCAACCCUGAUAUAACAGGGAGGAAGUUUUGCAGACUGGUUCCCAAGUAGCACAUGGAAGCAUUCAUCAAUGUAUGAUUUCAGGUUAGGACAAGGAGUGAAGGCCUUCACCAGAGCACCAAGAAUAGCCAGGGAAAAGUCACUCACAGCUUCUUUUGAACACCUUGGUAUAAGAAGAUGUGGCCAGAUGUACCAUUUGGUCUUGCCAGUUUUCUGACAACUGAACCAGUUGCAUCAAAGCAAACUACUGAGGGACAUUUUUUGGUUGCCAGGUUUGGAAGGUGACUUGGCUCGGGAUCUCCAAUAUCCAUCAACUCUGAUGCCUUUGCUGACCUCCAUACAGAUAGUUCCAUCCUGCCCUCACACAACUCUUCUGAAAUUUGUGAACGAAGGGUUCCUGACAUGAAUCUUUUGGACUGGCCAGUGUGCAGGGAGAUGUCGGCGCCUUCAAUGGAAGGCUGGAGCACCAUUGGGCUGUUGACCGUUGGCUCUCUGUCACAUGUCAUUUUAACACGACUUUGACACUCUUUACAGAAACCUGUGAUGUCAAUGUACUUACUAGUGACAGUUGGAUAAACUUUUGCUCAUUGGAAUACAAAUGUACAAGUGCUUUUCAACUUUUUCCAAACCAGAUCAUUAAUUAUAUGACUCCAUGUGCCAGGUUUUAAAAUUGUGUAAUUCCUUUUACAAGAUGAUGAAAACUUGUCAUUAUAUUCAACUUUUUGUGGUAUAAAUUUAAUCCAUUCUUCAAAUGGAACGUCGAGCUGAAAAUCUGAACAUUGACCAGGAGAAGUGGUGUCUGAGUCAAACUCUGUGUCCACAGGGCUUUCAGGAUCACUUCCUUGAUUAACUUCCAAGCAUGACCAGAUGUUGUGUCUGUUCAGCUUUACAAAUGUAUACAGACUUUUUGCAGACAUUUUUUUUCCCAACUGCUGACUUAUCUCUGUCCAGACAGCGGCAGCUGGAGUAGCUAUAUGGCCGUUUUCUAGAAUGGCCUCUUUUGAGUUGCAAAGAACUGCGAAAAGAGACUCUCUGUCUACCGCUGGCUGUCGAGGCAUCUAGUUAAAAAAAUAAAAAGGCUUUGAUUAGCAUUGCUUAAAAUAAUCAGUGCCUACAUGAUUUCAAAAUAUUAGCAUUAUUUGUUUUUGUCUUUUAUUAAACAU